AGCCCAAAACAUAGAUGUGUAAGUUUACAGACGUUGCAUUUGUGUGGUUGUGGGUACUAUUUUCAAUUUACUGUAAUAAAUUGGUAGAGUUAAAAAAUUAGAUAUUAGCAGAAGUAUUUGGGAAAAUACGUCAUAGAAGGUGAUAGCCCUGUAAGCGAAAAUAUCUAGUCUCUAUUAAUAGUUACCCGAGUAGAACGGAACACGAGAAAUUCUGUUUGAAUCUGGGAGGACCACCUUCCAAGGCUAAAUACGUGUCAUCAUCCGAUAGUGAACUAGUACCGUGAGGGAAAGGUGAAAAGAACCCCUGUUAGGGGAGUGAAAUAGAAUCUGAAACUGUCUGCCAACAAUCGGUAGGAGGGCUAUAUCUGGGUUUACUCAGAGAUGCCUGACUGCGUACCUUUUGCAUAAUGGGCCAGGGACUUAUUUUUAAUAGCAAGAUUAAGCCGUUAGGUGUAGUCGUAGCGAAAGCGAGUCUGAAUAGGGCGUUAGUUAUUGGAAAUAGACCCGAAGCGGGACGAUCUAGCCAUGGGCAGGCUGAAGCCUCCGGAAACGGAUGUGGAGGGCCGAACCGUUGAAGGGUGAAAACUUCUCGGAUGACCUGUGGUUAGGAGUGAAAGGCUAAUCAAGUUCCGUGAUAGCUGGUUCUCCUCGAAAUAUAUUUAGGUAUAGCCUCAUGCGUUCUCCUCUGGGGGUAGAGCACUGAUUGGACUAGGGGGUCGAAAGACUUACCAAACCCUAUCAAACUCCGAAUACCAGAGAUAGUAGCAUGGGAGUCAGACUAUGGGUGCUAAGAUCCGUAGUCGAAAGGGAAACAACCCAGAUCGCAAUCUAAGGUCCCUAAAUCUAGACUAAGUGGUUAAGGAUGUAAAUUUUCAUAGACAGCCAGGAGGUAGGCUUAGAAGCAGCCACCCUUUAAAGACAGCGUAACAGCUCACUGGUCGAUGAAAAUUUGCGCCGAAAAUGAAUCGGGGCUAAGUCUAGUACCGAAGAUGCGGAUUGUAUAUUUAUAUACAGUGGUAGAGGAGCGUUCUUAGUGGAAUGAAGCAUUACCGUAAGGAGAUGUGGACUGCUAAGAAGUGAGAAUCCUGGCAUGAGUAGCGACAAAAGUGGUGAGAAUCCACUUCACCGUAAGCGUAAGGGUUCCUGGGCAAGGCUCGUCCUCCCAGGGUUAGUCGGGACCUAAGGCGAGGCCGAAAGGCGUAGUCGAUGGAAAACAGGUUAAUAUUCCUGUACCACCUAUUGUGAGUGAUGGGGUGACGGAGAAGGAUAGAUCAGCCAAGUGUCGGAUUACUUGGUUCAAGCAUGUAGAAGUAAGGAAUAGGCAAAUCCGUUCCUUUCUAACUUCGAGACGUGAGUUACGAGAGACCUAGUCUCAUAAAGUGAUUGAUUCCAUGCUUCCUAGAAAAACCUCUAAAUGUUGAACAAUAGGUGCUCGUACUGUAAACGGACACACGUACGCGGGUAGAGUAUACCAAGGUGUUUGAGAUAAUUAUGGCUAAGGAACUCGGCAAAAUAGCUCCGUAACUUCGGAAGAAGGAGUGCCUAUAUUAGGUGAAAGCUCUUGCAGCUGGAGCCGAAAUAGGUGGCACUGAAAUGGUGGAAGCGACUGUUUACCAAAAACACAGGCCUGUGCUAACCCGCAAGGGGAUGUAUACGGGCUGACGCCUGCCCGGUGCUGGACGGUUAAGGGGANGGGUUAUCCUUCGGGAGAAGCUUNGAACCGAAGCCCCAGUAAACGGCGGCCGUAACUAUAACGGUCCUAAGGUAGCGAAAUUCCUUGUCGUCUAAUUAGCGACCCGCAUGAAUGGCGUAACGACUUCUGUACUGUCUCGGCCAUAAUCUCAGCGAAAUUGUAGUGCUGGUGAAGAUGCCAGCUUCCCGUUGUGGGACGGAAAGACCCCGUGCACCUUUACUAUAACCUAGCACUGGAUUUUGAUGAUAAAUGCGUAGGAUAGGUGGGAGACUUUGAAGAUUCGAUUUCGGUUGGAUCUGAGUCGUUGGUGAAAUACCACCCUUUUACUGUUAGAAUCCUAACUGUAAUCCGUUAUCCGGAUUAAGGACAAUGUUAGGCGGGUAGUUUGACUGGGGCGGUUGACUCCUAAAGAGUAACGGAGUCGCUCAAAGGUUCUCUCAGCCUGAUUGGAAACCAGGCGUCGAGUGUAAUGGCACAAGAGAGCUUGACUGUGAGAUCGACAGAUCGAGCAGGUACGAAAGUAGGACAUAGUGACCCGGUGCCUCCAUGUGGGAGGGGCAUCGAUCAUCGGAUAAAAGGUACGCCGGGGAUAACAGAUUAAUCGCGCCCAAGAGUUCACAUCGACGGCGCGGAUUGAUACCUCGAU
rnacentral:rRNA from 1 species